rnacentral:rRNA from 1 species
ACGAACGCUGGCGGCGUGCUUAACACAUGCAAGUCGAACGGAAAGGCCCUGCUUGCCGGGUACUCGAGUGGCGAACGGGUGAGUAACACGUGGGUGAUCUGCCCUGCACUUCGGGAUAAGCUUGGGAAACUGGGUCUAAUACCGGAUAGGAGCCAUCUUUAGUGUGGUGGUUGGAAAGUUUUUUCGGUGUAGGAUGAGCUCGCGGCCUAUCAGCUUGUUGGUGGGGUAAUGGCCUACCAAGGCGGCGACGGGUAGCCGGCCUGAGAGGGUGUACGGCCACAUUGGGACUGAGAUACGGCCCAGACUCCUACGGGAGGCAGCAGUGGGGAAUAUUGCACAAUGGGCGCAAGCCUGAUGCAGCGACGCCGCGUGGGGGAUGAAGGCCUUCGGGUUGUAAACUCCUUUCGCUAGGGACGAAGCCUUUUUGUGACGGUACCUAGAGAAGAAGCACCGGCUAACUACGUG